AUCAAAAGAUAAGGAAAAGGGAAGAAGGUUCAGAAAAUAAUAGUGAGCUUUUCUUAAAAAAAAAAAAGAUUAUAUCUAAAUCUCAAUGCUUCCUUAGCUAAAGCAGGAGCAAUUUAUUGCAUGGUAGCAGAGAUUUAUCGUUUCCUCUCUGUUAUACUUCAGCAUGCAGGCUCCUGGACUCAACUGCCCAGGCAUAGCCUCCGAGUCUUUCUUCUACUCGAGCUGCCGCUGAACUGCUAUUUUGUCGGAGACCUCAGUGUGUUUUAUUAAGGUUGUACAUUCAAGCCAAGUUGGAAGCUGGCAGCCUUUCACAAGAUGACUUGACAGGAAUGUGUGUGUGAGUGUGUCAGGGAUGCUUGAUGCAUUUUGGCAAAGAGGGAUCAUCUUACAGGCUGGCUCGAAACAUGCCCUCUAACAUGUACGCCUGCUUAGCUCCUCCUGCACACGAGAGGACUGAGACCGUUUGCCUAAGCUGAACAAGCCUGACAGUCCACCUUAAUAGACUUCCUACUUGGAGACUGAACUAUUAAAAUGUACUUAGAGGGACCAAGCUUGUUUUAAUCCCUCCCAAGUAAACAUUAACAUACAGACCAGUGCACAUGGAAAAUAUCUGCUGCUAUCCUGGAAGGGUUAGGAGACUGUGUGGCUCUUUUUGGAAAUGCUAAAUUGGGGAAGGAACUGAGAAAUGAAGGAAUAAAGGAUGAGAUUGCCAGUGCAGAAAGAUUGCUUCUCUUACUUAAGGCACAGAAACUUUGCUAUAUCAGAGAUGUCAUCAAAUGCAUUGAAACAAUUCCUAGGAAAAAGUCAUCGCAAGGUACCUGUACACUUAUUCAAAGACACAAUUCAGAAUACCUGAAGGAGGAUUUGAGUAGGCAUCAACUUUAUUGACUUUGCAGCACCAAAGCUUUCUUAUCUUUACCCGGAAGAAACCAGCAGCGAAAUCCUCUGAAAUCUGCUACCAGUUUGUUGAGCGUGUGCGUACAUGCGCGCCUGAGGUGCACCUGCGCAGUGCUAAAAAAGGAACAUUUUGAAGCCUUCCAAGUCUACAAAGGUAAGUAGAACAGCGAGGGGGGGGGAUCCAAUGUGUAGCCACGUGAUUUAGAUUAUCUAGAAAGCAGGAAAUGCAAUGAUUCUA